GACUUCCGGGGGGCGGCGCGAACGGCAAUGGCGGUCUUCUCCCGACGGGAGAAGAGGCUCCGCUGAAAUCGGGUCGUCCGCUACGGCGAAGCGGAGACCCAACGAGGAAAACCCCAGGCAGCAAGAGCCUGGGGUCCUGAGGCUCGGCGGGCGCCAAGAGCAGCCCUCCAACUGCAGAAGGAGCCUCGUAAGGGGCUCCGGAGCGUGGAGGGGGGUUGCGGCGCUGUGAGCCGUUUCACAGUCAGCGGAGUGAAGCCGCGCUGCUGCUGCCGGUGAGCGCUGAUCCCUUUUCCUGUUAAAAUUCGGACCUGGAAGAAAACAACUUACUCGUGAGUAAAGACUGAAUCACUUGGAAUUACAAAUUUUAAAUGAGAAGGUUUAAUUUGGCUUGAAUUUGGCUGAAAGCGGAGAGACGUGGAAACAGGAAGUCCGUCUUCCGCUGCCAUUGAACUUGGAAAAAAAGCAACUAAGGCGGAGGAGUGGAGGCUGAAAGAAAGAGACUUUAAACUCUACACAGCCAAGCAUCUAUGGAACUUACAAUUUAAAGUAAAACUAGUAAGUUAAAGAUUUGGAUCUUUUAUUUGUACUUGACUUUCCCCCUUUUAUUGGAUUACAAAUUGGAAGGUGAAACCCAGAGUCAGGAUUGCUUGAGCACUGUAAGAGCGAGCUGUCAGUGUUGAUUUGGAUACUGUAUAUUAGAAGUUGCAACAAUCUGAGGGUAUUGAGACCUUUUAAAUUUGAAACAUUCUUUUUGGAGACAAAUAAGCACUGUCUGCAACAAAGUGAUUACUUUUAAACUCUGCUUAAUACUUAUAUUGGAAGGUUCUGGGACAUUAAAUCAGACUCUGAAAGACAUCUUAAGCUCCCUCUAGAGGAUUGGAUUAAAACAGUGACUUUACAAAUACAUUUACUUUCGAUUCCCUUGUUGUUUGCUUGCUCUGGGCCUCUCUAUUCCUGUGGGAAAAACUCAGUGUGACCUUGACUUAUAGAUAACAUUGGAAUGAGUGGUACAAGAAGAAGAGGAAGAGUUAGACAAACAACUCUAACAACUCUAACCUCAGCCUCGCAGACACGUAGAUCAUCUGUGCCUACUUUGCCCUCAGAAGUACAACUUGAAGAAGCUGACUUGCCACAGGCAAAAGAGGGAGAGGGUGAAGCAGAGCAGUUACAAUUGGAAGAUAUGGCCUCAGGAUCAUCUGUUUCUGUGCUAGAAAAAUCUUUGAAAAAUUGGAAGCUUUGGACAAGAAAGUAGAUGCGCAAUCAGCAAAGAUUGAUAAAAAUACAGACUGUCUAAACAAAUUAACUACACAGGUGGGACAGAAUACACAAGCAAUUGGACAGUUGACGGAGGCCUCAGUAGAAAAUCGAAAAUUGGCUGAGGAUACCAGACAAAAAUUGGAAAAUUUAGAGCAAGAGGUAAGACCACUCACUAAACAAGUUGGGGAACAUCAGACUUAUCUUUCUAUGAUAGAACUGCGAAAUCGUGAGAAUAAUUUGAGGAUUAGAUCAUUACAAGAGGCAGAAGAAGGAAAUCUAACUGAGUUUUUGACCAAAGAACUUUCCAAGUUCUGGAAUUUGGAAGAAAAGGACUUUAAAAUUGUGUCAGCUUUCAGACUUGGAAGAUUUAUAAAGAAGGAGAGGCCCAGGGAUUGUUUGAUUACAUUGAGAUCGAAGGAGGAAAGGGAUAAGAUUUUGGGUCUACAUUACGAAAAGUCACUGGAGGUUUUGGAUAGAAGAAUUGAGAUAUAUAAAGAUAUCCCAAGACAACUGUUGGACCUUAGAGCCGCCUACUCUGAACUUGCUAAACUACUAAGGAGCAACGCAAUUCCAUUCAGGUGGGAAUUUCCCCAAGGAUUAUCUUUUACCUUUAGAGCGAGAAAGGUCAAAAUUAGAACAUUGGAAGAGAGAGAUAAAUUUCUGGCUACAUACGGAGAGGACCUACAUAAAGGAAUUGAACUACCUUCCGGGCCUGGGGCAAAGCCAGCGUCAAUACCUCCACCUGGGGAGCUUGAAGACCCAGAGAAGACACCACCCCGGGAGAAAUAACCAGACAGAUCCAGGAUGUCUCUGCAACUGUUGAGCUGGAACAUUAAUGGUUGCAAUAUUCCGGAGAAAAGGAAGAAAAUAUUUCAUAUAUUAAAAAAGAACAAUUGGACAUUAUUUGUUUACAAGAAACACAUGUGACGAGGCUCCACAGAAAAGUGUUAAUAAAUAAAAGAUUGGGCCAGGAAUUUAUUUCGUCGGACAAAGUGAAGAAGAGAGGAGUGGUGAUAUAUGCAAAAGAGAGCCUGUCACCUAAAUUUCUAUUUAAAGAUGAACAUGGAAGGAUUUUGGCUAUUGAGAUACAAUAUCAAGGAGAGAAACUGCUGAUAUUAGGAAUCUAUGCGCCCAAUGAAGGGAAAUCGGAAUUUUACAAGAAGUUGCAGGGGACAAUGCUGGAUCAUCUGGAUUACAACAACAUCAUAAUGAUGGGAGACAUGAACGGGGUCGUGUCAACUAACAUGGACAAGUCGCAAAGUCAAAAUGUCACAAAAGAUGGCAGACUACCUAAAACCUUUUUGAAAUGACUGACAAUAUGGACUUGAUUGACAUUUGGAGAACAAAGAACCCACUAGGUAGAGAAGGAACAUUCUUUUCUGAAGCCCAACUGACCUGGACAAGAAUCGACCAAAUAUGGAUCUCUAGAGGCCUGGCACCUAGGGUUAGAAAAGUGGAAAUCUGCCCAAAGACCUGCUCUGACCACAACGCAGUAAAGAUGGAUAUGACACUACUACCAACUGGAUCCUUUAGAUGGAAGAUGAAUGACAAUUUGUUUAGAGAUCAGGAAAUUACCAAGAAGGCCCAAAAAGUUUUGAAAGACUAUUUCGAGAUAAAUAUGAACAAUUCGGUGGAAAAAAAGAAUCGUCUGGGACGCAAGCAAAGCUGUCAUGAGGGGAUUCCUGAUACAACAGAAUGUAGUAAAGAAAAAAACACAAAAUGAGAAAAAAGACAAGAUUUUGGAU